rnacentral:rRNA from 1 species
UACGUAGGGUGCAAGCGUUGUCCGGAUUUAUUGGGCGUAAAGAGCUCGUAGGCGGUUAGUCACGUCGGAUGUGAAAACCCGGAGCUUAACUCCGGGCCUGCAUUCGAUACGGGCUGACUAGAGUGUUGUAGGGGAGACUGGAACUCCUGGUGUAGCGGUGAAAUGCGCAGAUAUCAGGAAGAACACCGGUGGCGAAGGCGGGUCUCUGGGCAACUACUGACGCUGAGGAGCGAAAGCGUGGGGGAGCAAACAGG